UGAUAAUGGUUAGUAAUUGGAGUUGUGAGUUGUUUUAUUGUUGAGGUUUGUUUAUUUAUUUCUAGUGUUACUAGAGUAGAGAGAAUAGAUAGCCAGUCAAAUGGUAAUUGGAAGCUAGUUAGGAAUAACUAGUGGGGCUUGAUUUAAGAAAUAGCUUUUAGAAUUGUAUUUAUGCAAAUUGGGUUGGUUGUGAUGUUGGUGUGUGAUAGGUUCCAAUAAGACCUCACAUUUUCAUUUGGAACAAUGGUCGAAGUUGGAGUCGAGUAAAGAUUCAACAAAUAUCGGUGAGUGAACUUGGAUUUCAAAAUUGCCUUGGGAAAUGUAAAUGUAUUUGGAUGAAACAUUUGAAUGAUUUUAUCCAACCUUUCUUUAAAAAUGUGUGCCGGGGAAGAAGCCCUUGAUAAAAUGUUUUGAUGUUGUGAAAAUAUGUGAAAUAUGUGAAAUGUGUAAAAGGAUGAAUCCAUGUGCUCUUAUAUUAUGUUGGUAUGUAUAUACAUGAAUAUAUGUUUUGCAUUGAUGAAUAAUGUUGUGUGAUGAUGUUGAAGUGUGCGAGUAGGGAGUGCACACAUGAUGAUGUUGAACUGUGCGAGUAAGGAGUGCACACAUGAUGAUGUUAGAGUGUGCGAGUAGGGAGUACACACAUGAUGAUGUUAGAGUGUGCGAGUAGGGAGUGCACACAUGAUGAUGUUGAAGUGUACGAGUAGGAAAAGCACACAUGAUGAUGAUAUUGCAUUGAGCUGAGUGUGGCGGGAUGGUAUGCAUGAUGAUAUAUGCAUAUAUAUAUAUAUGUUAUAGAAAGUUUAUGAAACAAAUUGUGAUUGUGUUGUAUGUUGGCAUUGUUAAUUGCUCCCAAAUUGCUUUUCAUUUCAACAAGAAAAUGGUUUUUGAUAUAACAAGACCCCUUUAACCAAAUUACUUUGUUUCUCGUUGCAGCAAGAAAUUUGAUGAAGCUUCUCGCUGCAGUGAGAUUUAUUUUCGCUGUAGCGAGAAACUCUCUGGUGGUUCCAAACUUUCUAGUGCAGUGCCUUCGGUUUGACAUAAAUUUUGACCAUCUUUUGAUCAGAACUGGGCAAAGUAGUAAACAUAAAAGUUGUAGCCCAGCCUCUUAUCUUUCUAAUGGUCUAAAACUCAUGUCAAUAUGACUUCUGUAGUGGGAGAUAUUCUUGAAAAACCGAAAUAUUUGCAAACUAAGAAUGUUUCUUGCUGCAGCGAGAAACUUGCUGUCAUGCUUGUUACCUUGCCUGAUUUUGACAUAUUUUUCACCCAUUUAACUUCAUGAAUUGAUCAUGGGUUUUUGCAACACUGUGAGGUUAUUAAUCAAAGUUUGAAAUGAGGGGUUUUUAGUAAGAAAUUAAAUCAAUUGCAUUAUUUUUGAAACAAAUGCAUCAUGAUUUCCAAGUUCUCCUUAUCGAUUGCUUGUUCCUUUUUUAUGUUCACUCACUGAGUUUUAUGCUCACAUUUUUAAACUUCAUGUUUUUAGAUUUGGAGGCAGUUGGGACCUAGAUUGAGUGUCCAUGUAUGCUCGUCUUCUUGGUAGGUAC
rnacentral:lncRNA from 1 species